rnacentral:rRNA from 1 species
GACGAACGCUGGCGGCGUGCUUAACACAUGCAAGUCGAACGAUGAAAGAGGAGCUUGCUCCUCUGGAUUAGUGGAGAACGGGUGAGUAACACGUGAGCAAUCUACCACUGACUCCGGAAUAACUACGGGACACUGUAGCUAAUACCGGCAAUGCGUCGAACAGGCAUCUGUAUCGGUGGGAAAGAAUUACGGUCAGGGAUGAGCUCGCGGCCUAUCAGCUUGUUGGUGAGGUAACGUCUCACCAAGGCGACGACGGGUAGCCGGCCUGCUCGGGUGACCUGCCACAUCGGGACGGAGACACGGCCCAGACUACUACGGGAGGCAGCAGUGGGGUAUAUUGCACAAUGGGCUGAAGCCUGAUGCAGCAACGCCGCGUGGGGUAUGACGUCCUUCGGUUUGUAAACCUCUUUUCUCAGGGAAGAAGUGAAAGUGACGGUACCUGCAGAAAAAGCGCCGGCUAACUACGUG